AAAAAGAAAUUCCCCAAAUGAUUCUCAUCAGUUCAUGUUUAUCAUGAAUCUAAAGUUACAGUAUUCAUGUCAGUAGGCUAUAAAGUUAACUUAAAAAUAAAAGAAUGUCCAAGCGAUAUGUUGAUAAUCCUAUGAACAGGCGUUUAGGAAGAGUUGGAAUGGUCCAUGGAACAGCUGUUCAUAGCAAUAGUCACAGCAGCAAAACAUAUGUUGAUAAUUCAUUAAAUCGGAGUUUAGCACGUGUUGGUUUACCACAUGGAAGUGCUGUUCAUUCUGUGUGAGCCCAUUUUUACCUAGCUAAUACUAACUCGCUCUGUCUGGUCAAAAUCUUCUACAUCUUAUUUCUCCCACUGCUCAUUCUCUUAUCAAAUU
rnacentral:sRNA from 1 species